AAGCUGUCUGUCCGGUAGGGUUCCGUCACACCUGCGUGUCGUUUGUUCUGCAAACCCCUGGCCUCGCCCCUCCCCACUCGUGCCCGGCCGCCUACCACCACCCACAGACGCCCCCCUGUCACCAAACCCGUCGGCGGCGACCGGUGGGGACAUUGAUUCCGAGGGCGAGGUAUCCGGUGACGGCUGUCACUGGCUGAGAGGAACUGGAUGCAGUUGACAGGUUCCCACUUCUUGAGGAGUUCGCGGAUAGCCGGGAGCAACCAGAUCGGGUUCCUCUGGUGGUGGUGGCGAACAACGGGGCAAGGGUUGAUGUACCUGCAGGUUCCAAUGCUGAUUCUGGUUGUGGGCAGCAGAUUGGAUGCGAGGGCAGCACUCCUGCGCUUGCUGGCGUUCGACGACGAUCGGAUUCAUCCCCGACAAGGCCUGCACAGUGAACUGACAGAGUCAACCCCCAGGUGCCUUGUUGGAUGAAAAGGUAUGAAAACAAUGAUUCGCACGCGCCGAUGAAAACAAUGAUUCACGCGGGUGGGGAAAAUUCAGACAUGAGGAAGAUGAUUUCUGAUUAAGGUUGGGGAGUAUGCCACCAGACCGGACACCGUGUCCAUCCCGAAUUAGUGCUAUGGAGCAGUUGAUUCGCAAAUACGCAGAGGAACCAACUAAAAGUGUGAUAAGACCUGAAUUUGGCUUUAGCCAAUCCGGAGCUGUUUGAAGGCAUGUUUGAGCAUACAAAGGCGUCACUGACUACGCUUGGUGUGGAAGGUGACGUUGCGGGAGAUGCCCCCCGUGGAUUUGGAGGCAAUUUCUGCAGAGCUGGGAACAGGGAAUUCGUCGAGGCGUGACUGGGGGAGAAGUACCCCACAUCGAUUGGGCUGUGCCAAGUGGAACCUUCUGAACAUGACAUUGGCAAGUUCUACCUCGGCAUGAUAGGGUGCGGCGAGAACAUUCUAAAGAAGAAAUGGUUCAAGCAUUAUCAUCCAAUACUAGCAGUGGGUUCUGGUCAAGACCUGAAGGAUGAGCUAACCCCUGGUGGCGAAUUGACACUGAAUUUGUGGAGAUGCAUACAACGGAUGCUAAGCGAGAAGGAGAUCAUGUACAGAGGGUAGUUAGAUAGAUUCAGAGGGAUAUUCGACCCUCAUUUUGUGGUGGAGCUUUGUAAGGAUGGUGAAGCAAAAGACUGGGAGUACAUCUACAUGAUGAUGGACUGUAAAAAGAUGGGCUACAGAAUCGACUGGCUUAAAAAGGGUCGGUAAACCGAAAUAUCUUGGUGGCCUUGGUGUGAUUGCCUUGAGAAAAUAAGGGAUUGCGUUGCAACUGCAUUCGGAGUGGCUCAAGCGUACAAAUGAUGCUAGACCUUGGCAGGGUUAAAACUUCUCAAGUGACCCUCAAGUUCAGUCUGCAUUCAAUAGGUUGGUGCACUGGCAGAUGGGUCCUGGUGAGUGGUGACAAAGUGCUUUUCUGGAAAGAUAGGUGGAUUAAGGAGCCCGUGUUGGGGAAUUUGCUACCCUGGUCUUGGCGCGAGUGAAAACGCAAGUGGUCAACAGACUGCUGGCCAAAGACGGGCGGAUAAUGCAUAAUUGGACUUUGGACAUUGGGGGUGAGUAGUCUACGAAAGGUCUAGUCUAGUUCAUUAAUCUGCGGGAGCGGUUGUUGGGUAUGCAUCAUUCUCCUGGCCGCAAGACAUGGCAAUUUGAAAAUGGAGUGACAUUGGACAGUACUCUGCGACCUCUACUUAUCAUAUGUUCUGUGAGGGCUCCAUUUGUUUCCUCUGCACUAUGAUGAUAUGGCGUUGUUGGGCACCCCUAUCCUGCAAAUUUUCCUUUGGCUGGCUCUCCAAUACCCCUCUGGACGUCACAUAGGAGAUUGCGACACGGCUUGCAAGACCAAAGCUUUGUCUGUUUCCUUUGUGAUCAAGAAGAAGGCACUGUGGAUCGUAUCCUCCUUCAAUGUGUGUUCUCUUGGUAGGUCUGGCACCUAUGUUUCGCAAGGGCAAAGAUCACUAUUUAGAUUCCUACGGUGACAAAUCGGCUUGAACCUUGGCGGGCAGCCAGUAGGAAGCUUUUUCUGAAGAUCUAUCGUAGAGGUUUUGACACUAUGGUUGCUCUUGUGUGCUGGGGCUUAUGGAAACAAUGGAACAGAAGAGUCUUCGGAAGGAGAGAUAUCUUCAAUGAGUGGGAGCUUGCGUCUCUUAUUUUCCAAGAGCUCAAACUUUGGGCUAUUACGGGGAAGAAAUGAGUGCUACCAUUCUGUUAAUAGCCGACUAGAUCUGUAGGAUUGGUGUGUUCUUUCUAGCUUGCCUUGGGUGUUCUGCUAGACAGUGUGUAAUCUCUUAUAAUUAAUCUCUACCUUCUAUAAAGUUAUGGUAUGCCUUUGUCGUACUCUUGAAAAACGGUGAAAUUUGCUCUCAUUUGCUCAACAAUUUGGAGGACCAUAUCUAUCCAUAUGAUAUUA